UACGGAGGGUGCAAGCGUUAAUCGGAAUUACUGGGCGUAAAGGGUGCGUAGGUUGUUUUUUUAAGUUAUCUGUAAAAUCCCUGGGCUCAACCUGGGCAGGUCAGAUAAGACUGAAAGACUCGAGUAUGGGAGAGGGUAGUGGAAUUUCCGGUGUAGCGGUGAAAUGCGUUAGAGAUCGGAAGGAACACCGGUGGCGAAGGCGGCUACCUGGCCGAAUACUGACACUGAGGCACGAAAGCGUGGGGAGCAAACAGG
rnacentral:rRNA from 1 species